rnacentral:lncRNA from 1 species
UUAGCAAUGUGUACCGGGUUUCAGUAGACAAAAGUAUCCUUAUAUAUCAUGGAUUCUAAGUUUUAAGGUAAAGGGUAUUAUAAUAAUUUACAUUCUCAAAACUAAAAAAAAAAAAAAGAAACCCCCAAACCCUUAUUCACNUCUCUCAUUUCUCUCAACCCUUUUUCUUUCAUCUCUUUCACUCCAACCUUUUCUCUGUCAUCCCUACUGUAGCCCUAAUUGAAAAAAAAAAAAAUCAGAAACUCUUGCCUGACCCUAAUCAACCUUCCUCACUUAUCUCC